CGAUUUUAGAAUUUAUUUUGCCAAUGGCCUUUCUGUGGGAUCCUUUUGGAGCCUAUAUCCCUCGUCCAUCUUCAAGAAAUAAGAUGAGAUUACGCUUUUUGAAGUCCUACAGCCUUGAGUCUCUGUAAACUGAAGCAUACCUCAUUUCCUGAAAUGCAGACAGGAAUCAUGUUUCCUGCUGCAUUUAGCUUUGCUCAG